rnacentral:lncRNA from 1 species
AAAUUGCCCAUUUCCUUUUUGUUUCCCAGAACAGCACAGAAGUUUGAGAGAAGCAGUGGCUGUAAGAAAAUGACUUUCCUAUGAACAAUGGGAAAGAAAUAGCUGAGAUCAUGAUGGGUGGAUCCUCCUUUACCCUACUGUCCAGAUCAGCUUCCUAAAAUAACUUUCCCAGGGAAUGAUAACUUCUUUCAGUGAAACACAGAUUUCAGGGGAGAUCCUGAUCAUAAGGGAGAAGACCGUGUGUCAGCAGCAA